rnacentral:rRNA from 1 species
AACGGACGCUGGCGGCAUGCCUAACACAUGCAAGUCGAACGAGACCUUCGGGUCUAGUGGCGCACGGGUGCGUAACGCGUGGGAACCUGCCCUUAGGUUCGGAAUAACUCCCCGAAAGGGGUGCUAAUACCGGAUAAUGUCUUCGGACCAAAGAUUUAUCGCCUUUGGAUGGGCCCGCGUUGGAUUAGCUAGUUGGUGGGGUAAAGGCCUACCAAGGCGACGAUCCAUAGUUGGUCUUAGAGGAUGAUCAGCCACACUGGGACUGAGACACGGCCCAGACUCCUACGGGAGGCAGCAGUGGGGAAUAUUGGACAAUGGGCGAAAGUCUGAUCCAGCAAUGCCGCGUGAGUGAUGAAGGCCCUAGGGUUGUAAAGCUCUUUUACCAGGGAUGAUAAUGACAGUACCUGGAGAAUAAGCUCCGGCUAACUCCGUGCCAGCCGCCGCAGUAA